GAUGAACGCUAGCUACAGGCUUAACACAUGCAAGUCGAGGGGAAACGGCAUUAAGUGCUUGCACUUUUUGGACGUCGACCGGCGCACGGGUGAGUAACGCGUAUCCAACCUUCCCAUGACUAAGGGAUAACCUGCCGAAAGGCAGACUAAUACCUUAUGGUCUUCACUGACGGCAUCAGAUGUGAAGUAAAGAUUUAUCGGUUAUGGAUGGGGAUGCGUCUGAUUAGCUUGUUGGCGGGGUUACGGCCCACCAAGGCAACGAUCAGUAGGGGUUCUGAGAGGAAGGUCCCCCACAUUGGAACUGAGACACGGUCCAAACUCCUACGGGAGGCAGCAGUGAGGAAUAUUGGUCAAUGGGCGAGAGCCUGAACCAGCCAAGUAGCGUGCAGGAUGACGGCCCUAUGGGUUGUAAACUGCUUUUGUAUGGGGAUAAAGUCAAUCACGUGUGAUUGUUUGCAGGUACCAUACGAAUAAGGACCGGCUAAUUCCGUG
rnacentral:rRNA from 1 species